rnacentral:lncRNA from 10 species
GCUCCGAGAGACACACACGGGAAUAUUCAGAACCUUUUCUGUAAUAGCUAUAAACUGAAAGCAGCACAUGUCCAACAGGAAAAUGAAUAAACAAAUACAGCAUAUUCAUACAAUAGAAUCCUAUACAGAGCAACUAAAAUAACAGCUAGAGGCAACAACACGGAUGGAUCUUACAAGCCUGAUGUGGAACAAGAGAAGCCUGUCCAGAGACUAAGUGAAUGGAUUUAUGUGGUAUGCAAAAACAGGCAAAACCAAAUCAUAGUGUUUUGGGAGGUAUGCUUACAUAGUAAAGCUCUGAAGGAAAACAAAGAAAAGGCGACUAAAGAGAAUGACAACUUACACAAUGCAGAAUCCUGGAUUGGAUCCUAGAUCCAAUCAACGUGUAGGGGCAAAGAAACAAAGGAUCAGAGAGGGUGGGACCCUGACCAGGAUUACACAGAUGCUGAUCCCACUCCAAGUCUAGAACAUCAUUCACAUCUUGGACAGCAAAUUUCACAUACUGAUGAAGGCGCCGAAUUUCCUAUA